UACGGAGGGAGCUAGCGUUGUUCGGAAUUACUGGGCGUAAAGCGCGCGUAGGCGGCUUUGUAAGUUAGAGGUGAAAGCCCGGAGCUCAACUCCGGAACUGCCUUUAAAACUGCAUCGCUUGAAUCCAGGAGAGGUGAGUGGAAUUCCGAGUGUAGAGGUGAAAUUCGUAGAUAUUCGGAAGAACACCAGUGGCGAAGGCGGCUCACUGGCUCGUAACUGACGCUCAUGCACGACAGCGUGGGGAUCAAACAGG
rnacentral:rRNA from 1 species